rnacentral:rRNA from 1 species
AGAGUUUGAUCCUGGCUCAGAUUGAACGCUGGCGGCAUGCCUUACACAUGCAAGUCGAACGGCAGCACGAGAGCUUGCUCUUGGUGGCGAGUGGCGAACGGGUGAGUAAUAUAUCGGAACGUACCCUAGAGUGGGGGAUAACGUAGCGAAAGUUACGCUAAUACCGCAUACGAUCUACGGAUGAAAGUGGGGGAUCGCAAGACCUCAUGCUCAUGGAGCGGCCGAUAUCUGAUUAGCUAGUUGGUGGGGUAAAAGCUCACCAAGGCGACGAUCAGUAGCUGGUCUGAGAGGACGACCAGCCACACUGGAACUGAGACACGGUCCAGACUCCUACGGGAGGCAGCAGUGGGGAAUUUUGGACAAUGGGCGCAAGCCUGAUCCAGCAAUGCCGCGUGAGUGAAGAAGGCCUUCGGGUUGUAAAGCUCUUUUGUCAGGGAAGAAACGGUGGACUCUAAUACAGAUCACUAAUGACGGUACCUGAAGAAUAAGCACCGGCUAACUACGUGCCAGCAGCCGCGGUAAUACGUAGGGUGCAAGCGUUAAUCGGAAUUACUGGGCGUAAAGCGUGCGCAGGCGGUUGUGCAAGACAGAUGUGAAAUCCCCGGGCUCAACCUGGGAAUUGCAUUUGUGACUGCACGGCUAGAGUGUGUCAGAGGGGGGUAGAAUUCCACGUGUAGCAGUGAAAUGCGUAGAGAUGUGGAGGAAUACCGAUGGCGAAGGCAGCCCCCUGGGAUAACACUGACGCUCAUGCACGAAAGCGUGGGGAGCAAACAGGAUUAGAUACCCUGGUAGUCCACGCCCUAAACGAUGUCUACUAGUUGUCGGGUCUUAAUUGACUUGGUAACGCAGCUAACGCGUGAAGUAGACCGCCUGGGGAGUACGGUCGCAAGAUUAAAACUCAAAGGAAUUGACGGGGACCCGCACAAGCGGUGGAUGAUGUGGAUUAAUUCGAUGCAACGCGAAAAACCUUACCUACCCUUGACAUGUCUGGAAUCCUUGAGAGAUCAGGGAGUGCUCGAAAGAGAAUCAGAACACAGGUGCUGCAUGGCUGUCGUCAGCUCGUGUCGUGAGAUGUUGGGUUAAGUCUCGCAACGAGCGCAACCCUUGUCAUUAGUUGCUACGAAAGGGCACUCUAAUGAGACUGCCGGUGACAAACCGGAGGAAGGUGGGGAUGACGUCAAGUCCUCAUGGCCCUUAUGGGUAGGGCUUCACACGUCAUACAAUGGUACAUACAGAGGGCCGCCAACCCGCGAGGGGGAGCUAAUCCCAGAAAGUGUAUCGUAGUCCGGAUUGUAGUCUGCAACUCGACUACAUGAAGUUGGAAUCGCUAGUAAUCGCGGAUCAGCAUGUCGCGGUGAAUACGUUCCCGGGUCUUGUACACACCGCCCGUCACACCAUGGGAGCGGGUUUCACCAGAAGUGGGUAGCCUAACCGCAAGGAGGGCGCUCACCACGGUGGGAUUCGUGACUGGGGUGAAGUCGUAACAAGGUA